AGUGGCAAGAUGGCGGACUGCGGUGGCUUAGGUGGAGCGGAGACUGCUGCGGCUUCUCCUCCUGCACCCGCUCCCGAACUGAGCCCGCCGCUGGGCUGGAGGGAGCGGCUCCGGGCCGGGCUGGCGGGGACUGGGGCUUCGUUGUGGUUCGUGGCGGGGCUGGGGCUGCUUUACGCUCUGAGGGUCCCGCUGAGGCUGUGUGAGAACUUGGCAGCGGUGACAGUAUUUUUAAAUUCAUUGACUCCGAAAUUCUAUGUGGCACUUACAGGGACAUCUUCUUUGAUAUCAGGACUAAUAUUUAUUUUUGAAUGGUGGUACUUCCAUAAGCACGGCACAUCUUUUAUUGAGCAAGUAUCUGUAAACCAUUUGCGACCACUGAUGGGAGGAACAGAGAGCAGCAUUUCAGAGCUAGGUUCUCCUUCCAGGAACAGAGAAAGUGAAACCAGCAGACAGAAUUUGUCAGAAUGCAAGGUAUGGAGAAACCCUCUAAACCUUUUCAGAGGAGCAGAAUACAGGAGAUACACUUGGGUGACUGGUAAAGAGCCACUUACAUACUAUGAUAUGAACUUGUCAGCUCAGGACCAUCAAACCUUUUUCACCUGUGACACAGACUUUUUACGUCCUUCAGACACAGUUAUGCAGAAGGCAUGGAGGGAAAGAAAUCCUCCAGCUCGAAUCAAAGCAGCCUAUCAAGCUUUAGAGUUAAACAAUGACUGUGCCACUGCAUAUGUUCUGUUGGCUGAGGAAGAAGCAACAACUAUUAUAGAUGCUGAAAGGUUAUUUAAACAGGCACUCAAGGCAGGAGAAACAAUUUAUAGGCGGUCACAGCAGUGCCAGCACCAAAGUCCUCAGCAUGAAGCUCAACUGAGGAGAGAUACCAAUGUUCUGGUAUAUAUUAAAAGAAGAUUGGCAAUGUGUGCAAGAAAAUUAGGAAGAAUAAGAGAAGCAGUGAAAAUAAUGAGAGAUUUGAUGAAAGAAUUUCCUCCUCUUACCAUGUUGAACAUCCAUGAAAAUCUCUUAGAAUCACUUUUAGAAUUACAGGCCUAUGCAGAUGUUCAGGCAGUCCUAGCAAAAUAUGAUGAUAUAAGCCUUCCAAAGUCAGCAGCAAUUUGUUAUACAGCAGCACUGUUGAAGACAAGGACUGUUUCAGAUAAAUUCUCUCCAGAAACAGCCUCCAGAAGAGGGUUAAGCACAGCAGAAAUUAAUGCUGUGGAAGCAAUCCAUAGAGCUGUGGAAUUUAAUCCUCAUGUUCCAAAAUAUUUACUAGAGAUGAAAAGUUUAAUUUUACCUCCAGAACACAUUCUGAAACGGGGUGAUAGUGAAGCAAUUGCCUAUGCUUUCUUUCAUCUUCAGCACUGGAAGCGAAUAGAAGGUGCUCUUAAUCUGUUACAGUGUACAUGGGAAGGAACUUUUAGAAUGAUUCCAUAUCCAUUAGAGAAAGGACAUCUAUUUUACCCUUAUCCCAGCUGCACAGAGACUGCUGAUAGAGAGCUAUUACCUACCUUUCAUCAUGUUUCUGUUUACCCAAAGAAGGAGCUUCCUUUUUUCAUUCAUUUCACAGCAGGACUGUGUUCUUCUACAGCAAUGAUAGCCCUUCUCACACACCAGUUUCCUGAAAUCAUGGGUGUUUUUGCUAAAGCUUUUUGAACUGCUUCCCCAUUUCCUGAUCUAGGAAGUACCUGAGGACUGACAUUAGAGAAGGAGCACCAUAGUCACCCAGGAGCUUGUUGAAAACGUAGAACCUCAGGCAUCACUCCAGACCUCCUGAAUCAGAAUCUGCAUUUUAACAAGAUCCCCAGGUGAUCCUAUAUGCACAUUUAAAGCUUGAGAAGCUCUGCUGUUUCCCCAAUAUGAGGAAUUUAGAACACCUGAAUAGUACCACCUUAUUAAGGUGGAGAAGAGACAGCAUUGCAGUGCUAUGAGCAUAGACUCUGGAGGCAGACUGCUUAGCUUUGAAUCCAAGCCCGGACAGUUAUUGGCUCUGCAAUCUCAGCUGAGAUGAAAACCUAGUCUGACAUUAGACAUAGAACAAUGAAAAAAAGUUGCAUAAAUCCCUGGAGAUGUGGAAUGUGCUGAUAUCAGAGCUGAUAUUCUCCAAGGCCAGAAUUCCUGAAAAAGGAAAAAUUGCUUUUAAGUGAGCCAGCAGGUCCUCCAGAUGGAGAGAAUAAUGGGAUGCAGAAGAAAAUUAUAAUCUUGAGGAAUAGUUUUUAGCUUUUUUCUUGAGUGGAGUUUUGCUCCUGUCCCCUACCAAUCAAAUUUCUAAAUCUCAAAAGAACUAAAUUAGUAAGACUGCUUAAUAAAUUACAAUUCUAAACCAAGAGUAACUGGGACUUCAGUUAGUUCUUUUUUUAAGAGUUGAUACUUAUAUUCCCAUUUAUUCUUAACUGGAGCCACUGGAGGACAGAUUGUAAUCUUCCAGCGUUUAUAGAUGGGAAGUUUGAAUCAUCAAAGUUAAGUAUUAUGCCUAAAAUUACAUAGUAAAUAAGGUAGCCUAUUACUUUUAGUCAUAAUAUAUAUUUUGGUUUCAAUAAUAUAUCACUUCAAACUUAUACCAAAACAAGUACAAACAAAUAAAUUUCAAACCAGAUACAGUAGUGCUAAGGGGACAUAGAAUGAUGGAGUGGUGAUAGUCAAGUGGCUUUGCUAGAGAAGUCUUCCUUCCUAUAAGAGUGGAAUUUGGAGAAGAGUUCUAAAUGAAGAGGCUGAUGUAAAUUGUCAGAAAAAUAGAAAGGGCACUUAGCUUGGAGAAAUGCUUACUGCAAAGGCAAAGACACCAGGAGACAAAUAAGCUGCAUGCUCUUCACACUAUAAGCCUAUUUGAUGACUCUGAUGCUUUAAAAUAAAGAAUAUACCUUUGCUUUUCUGUCUUUCAAACUGGUUCACUCCAGUUUUAUUCUCUUCUUGCUAGUUAGCCACUUAAAGAACUGCUGUUUGUCCAUUUACAUCACAUACAUAACUGAAGUCUUUAAUAGACUUCAGCCUCUCUAACUGCCUAAAAGGUACAGUAAUACUAAAGAAACAGUAGGCCCUGGUUUAUAAGGAUACAGAGGGAAUUUAAUUGACUCUAAAAUUGUGUUAAAAAAAAGUUUUAAUAUAAAGCAUAAAUGUAUGUUUGCAGAGGAUUAAAGAGGAAAGUUUAACUGAAAAGAAUAAAUGUUUCAUCUAAAAUACCAUAA